GACGAACGCUGGCGGCGUGCUUAACACAUGCAAGUCGAACGGAAAGGCCCUGCUUUUGUGGGGUGCUCGAGUGGCGAACGGGUGAGUAACACGUGAGUAACCUGCCCUUGACUUUGGGAUAACUUCAGGAAACUGGGGCUAAUACCGGAUAGGAGCUCCUGCUGCAUGGUGGGGGUUGGAAAGUUUCGGCGGUUGGGGAUGGACUCGCGGCUUAUCAGCUUGUUGGUGGGGGAGUGGCUUACCAAGGCUUUGACGGGUAGCCGGCCUGAGAGGGUGACCGGCCACAUUGGGAGUGCGAUACGGCCCAGACUCCUACGGGAGGCAGCAGUGGGGAAUAUUGCACAAUGGGCGGAAGCCUGAUGCAGCAACGCCGCGUGCGGGAUGACGGCCUUCGGGUUGUAAACCGCUUUCGCCUGUGACGAAGCGUGAGUGACGGUAAUGGGUAAAGAAGCACCGGCUAACUACGUG
rnacentral:rRNA from 1 species